UGCAAGUCGAACGGUGAAGCAGAGCUUGCUCUGUGGAUCAGUGGCGAACGGGUGAGUAACACGUGAGCAACCUGCCCUGGACUCUGGGAUAAGCGCUGGAAACGGCGUCUAAUACUGGAUAUGAGAUGCGAUCGCAUGGUCGUGUUUGGAAAGAUUUUUCGGUCUGGGAUGGGCUCGCGGCCUAUCAGCUUGUUGGUGAGGUAAUGGCUCACCAAGGCGUCGACGGGUAGCCGGCCUGAGAGGGUGACCGGCCACACUGGGACUGAGACACGGCCCAGACUCCUACGGGAGGCAGCAGUGGGGAAUAUUGCACAAUGGGCGAAAGCCUGAUGCAGCAACGCCGCGUGAGGGAUGACGGCCUUCGGGUUGUAAACCUCUUUUGGUAGGGAAGAAGCCUUCGGGUGACGGUACCUGCAGAAAAAGCGCCGGCUAACUACGUGCCAGCAGCCGCGGUAAUACGUAGGGCGCAAGCGUUAUCCGGAAUUAUUGGGCGUAAAGAGCUCGUAGGCGGUCUGUCGCGUCUGCUGUGAAAUCCCGAGGCUCAACCUCGGGCUUGCAGUGGGUACGGGCAGACUAGAGUGCGGUAGGGGAGAUUGGAAUUCCUGGUGUAGCGGUGGAAUGCGCAGAUAUCAGGAGGAACACCGAUGGCGAAGGCAGAUCUCUGGGCCGUUACUGACGCUGAGGAGCGAAAGGGUGGGGAGCAAACAGGCUUAGAUACCCUGGUAGUCCACCCCGUAAACGUUGGGAACUAGUUGUGGGGUCCUUUCCACGGAUUCCGUGACGUAGCUAACGCAUUAAGUUCCCCGCCUGGGGAGUACGGCCGCAAGGCUAAAACUCAAAGGAAUUGACGGGGACCCGCACAAGCGGCGGAGCAUGCGGAUUAAUUCGAUGCAACGCGAAGAACCUUACCAAGGCUUGACAUACACCAGAACGGGCCAGAAAUGGUCAACUCUUUGGACACUGGUGAACAGGUGGUGCAUGGUUGU
rnacentral:rRNA from 1 species